rnacentral:rRNA from 1 species
UACAGAGGUCUCAAGCGUUGUUCGGAUUCAUUGGGCGUAAAGGGUGUGUAGGUGGCGCCGUUAGUCGGGUGUGAAAUUUCGGAGCUUAACUCCGAAACUGCAUUCGAUACUGCGGUGCUUGAGGACUUGGAGAGGAGACUGGAAUUCAUGGUGUAGCAGUGAAAUGCGUAGAGAUCAUGAGGAAGACCAGUGGCGAAGGCGGGUCUCUGGACAGUUCCUGACACUGAGACACGAAGGCCAGGGGAGCAAACGGG